AUUGAACGCUGGCGGCAGGCCUAACACAUGCAAGUCGAACGAGUGGCGGACGGGUGAGUAAUGUCUGGGAAACUGACUGAUGGAGGGGGAUAACUACUGGAAACGGUAGCUAAUACCGCAUACAAUGCGAUGUGGACAGAUGGGAUUAGCUAGUUGGUGGGGAAACGGCUCACCAAGGCGACGAUCCCUAGCUGGGCUGAGAGGAUGACCAGCCAGCAUGGAACGGAGACACGGUCCAGACUCCUACGGGAGGCAGCAGUGGGGAAUAGUGCACAAUGGGCUCAAGCCUUAUGCAGCCAUGCCGCGUGUAUGAAGAAGGCCUUCGGGUUGUAAAGUACUUUCAGCGGGGAGGCGUUACCCUCAGAAGAAGCACCGGCUAACUCCGUGCCAGCAGCCGCGGUAAUUC
rnacentral:rRNA from 1 species